AACGAACGCUGGCGGCAGGCCUAACACAUGCAAGUCGAGCGAGGACUUCGGUGCUAGCGGCGGACGGGUGAGUAACGCGUGGGAAUGUGCCCUUCUCUACGGAAUAGCCCUGGGAAACUGGGAGUAAUACCGUAUACGCCCUUUUGGGGAAAGAUUUAUCGGCGAAUGAUCAGCCCGCGUUGGAUUAGGUAGUUGGUGGGGUAAUGGCCUACCAAGGCGACGAUCCAUAGCUGGUGUGAGAGGAUGAUCAGCCACACUGGGACUGAGAGACGGACCAGACUCCUACGGGAGGCAGCAGUGGGGAAUCUGAGACAAUGGGGGCAACCCUGAGCUAGUCAGGCCGCGUGAGUGAUGAAGGCCUGAGGGUUGUAAAGCUCUGUCAGCUGGGCAGAUAAUGACGGUACCAGCAGAAGAAGCCCCGGCUAACUCCGUG
rnacentral:rRNA from 1 species